GAUGAACGCUGGCGGCGUGCCUAACACAUGCAAGUCGAACGGAGUUGAGCCCUUCGGGACUUAACUUAGUGGCGAACGGGUGAGUAACGCGUGAGGAACCUGCCUUUCAGUGGGGGACAACAGUUGGAAACGACUGCUAAUACCGCAUGAUGCAUUUUGAUCGCAUGGUCGGAAUGCCAAAGAUUUAUCGCUGAAAGAUGGCCUCGCGUCUGAUUAGAUAGUUGGUGGGGUAACGGCCCACCAAGUCGACGAUCAGUAGCCGGACUGAGAGGUUGACCGGCCACAUUGGGACUGAGAUACGGCCCAGACUCCUACGGGAGGCAGCAGUGGGGAAUAUUAGGCAAUGGGCGCAAGCCUGACCCAGCAACGCCGCGUGAAGGAAGAAGGCUUUCGGGUUGUAAACUUCUUUAAGUGGGAAGAGUAGAAGACGGUACCACUUGAAUAAGCCACGGCUAACUACGUG
rnacentral:rRNA from 1 species